GUCGCUGUUGCCAUGGGAACGGCUGCGGCGCCGCCGCGGGAGCGGAGCCGGGAUCGUUGGGGCCGCUGAGGCGGUAGCCGGGAGCCAGCGGUCCCAGCGUGUGCCGAGGCCCUGGUGCAAAAUCCGCGCUCGUGGCUGCGGGCCUUCAGUGCAGGUUGUUACACGUGCCUCCGGAUUCUGUGGGUGUAUUGACGUGAGACAGCCGGAGGGAUUCAGGGUGCUCCCGUUGUGCUCCCGCAGUUCGAAACAAACUGCAAUAACUUUGCCUGUUUUGAAGCUAUCCUUCAAUGGAUUAGGAAGAAAUUGCAGCUAGAAACUACAGCCGCGGUGUCAAGCCGGGUUCUGUUUCCUCCUGCUGCGCUGACCUCGCUGAACUUUCGCUCUUGAGCUCAGUUACACAUUUGAUGUUUCUGAAAUAGAAAGCUUCUCCACAUCACUGAAGUCCUGCUUUCAGCUGGAAUCCGUUCAAGAUUAUACUGGGAAUCAUGAACAACAAUAAUUUUGUGAUACUCCCAGGUUCAAAAAGUGGAACCUCUGUGAGAUUGAAAGCGAAAACUGUCAGGGAAUUGCGGCUGGAGAAAGUGCAGUUAGAAAUGGAAAAUAAAGAGGUGGAGAAGAAAUUACGACAACUGCAGUCCAACAUGAGCAGAGAAAAACAGGAGAGAAAGAAAUCAAGUGCUUAUCAUUGGAAGUCUGGACAAGCAGGACCAAUGGCUAUCCAAGCCCAAUUUUUGCUACAAAACAAAGAAAAAGCCAAUAAGGUAUCUUCAGGAAAAGUGAGGUUGCAACUGCUGAAAGAACCCAUUCAAGAGCCAGUGAAAGAACAACUUAAGCAUGAAAUGUCCAAUGGUGGAGCUUGUGAAAAAUCUGAAGUGAAAGAGAUACUAUGUGGACAAUGUGAAAUUAAGAAUGCAGUGCUGCAGGUAGAAGCCAGUGCACGUGCUGGAAAACUGAGAGUUGCUGAUUGCUUCAUCAGUGAGGUAAAUCUGAAUGAAACCAAUCAUGAGGAGAAAAACAGCAAGUAUGAGGUCACUUCGAACAAGUCGUCAUCCUCACCGGCGUCAGCAGGCACUGCUGAGGAGACCUCUUCAGAAUCGGCCUGGACAGGCCUUGACAAUCAGGACAAAGGGAUAUUACUAAAUGGAAUGUUUAAUGAGGAGGAAUCUGCGAAGUCUUUUCAGGAAGCUCUGAUUCAAUGGAGAAAUAAUAAUCAUGAUCACAGACAAGAACACCAUGCUGGUGGGGCUCUAUCAGAAUCUGUGGGGAAUUGUGAGGUACAGACCAGUCUUUCUGUUGUGAAAGAACACGUCCAAAUUCACUUCAAGGAGGAUGGCCUGAGCUACAUGGAGAAACUCUUGCUUAAGAAAUACAAAAGGUCUUCUGUUGAUGAAAUGUCUGGUAGUUGUGUUAAGGACUCAAGACCUGCACAAACACCGACUACAUCACACCAGGCUGUGACUGGAGGAGAGCAGAAAGGAGAUGCUGGUGAUAUAGAUGAUUUAACAGUUGAAGAGGUGAGGAGAUACUGGACAUCUGUUCUUAGAGAGGAGGUGCCCAGGAGUGUUUCUGGAAGUGCAGAGUCCGCUCUGAAAGUUGAAUUUCUUGAUGAUGAAUCUUAUGACGUGGACUUGGAAGAGUCAUGCAACUUCUUGGUGUUGGAAGCUGAGGCAGGAGGAAUGAAUAACCAGAGAAAUAUUGGAUCAUUUGAAGAGCUUGGAAGUGGUUCAGUAACUGCAGAUCAGAAAAACACACAAGCAGACCUUUUGCCAAAGGAAACCGUAGCUGUGAUAAAGUCAUCUUGUCACUCAGCUUUCACAGCUGAUGCUCAAUAUCUUUUACCUUCUCCUCUUGAUGGGAGUCUUGUUUCCUGUAAAGAAAUUUUGCAAGGAGAUGGGAGAUGGUUUACUGACAGGAGUGUAAGUGAAUACGCUGACGAGUCCGUAGUUCAAGCUGUCUUAAAAAGUCAAAUGAAUAGAUCUUCAAGCGGUCUCAAGACUCAAAAUAGAAUUUCUCCUCUGGUAACAUGCAGAUCAUACUCAGGGAACGAUUCUAUCAGACCUCGGUCACUGGAUGUGCUGCAACAUAAACUGACUAGAAAUGGUGCGAGAAAGACACAUCCAAGACCAAAGAGUUUACCUGUGCGUACGUCUAGAGCUGAUACUGAGAUAUCAAAGCACGAGUACGUUGAUGUAAUUAAAGAAGAUGAGUAUCAUUGGGAAUCUGUUGCUGACCAGGAAGCCUUACUUAGUCUGGAAAAAGAAUUACAGACUUAUAUAGAUCCUCAAGAAAAACUUCACGGCCUAAAUUCUGAAGAUGUAACCUCCUCCAGCAGAUGCUCAAGGAAGAUAGAUGGAAACAUUACAGAUUUCCAUAAAACCCUGGAACUAAAAGACCUCAGUGGAGCUGAUAUGCUUGGGGGCUAUGAUGAAGACCAAAUUGAUGAGAAGGAGGAAAUUCUGGAGGACAAACGACAGGUUCUUGCAUUACAGUAAACAUGUAAAGAAUUUAGUGAAUUUUCUAUCUUUGUAUAUCGCACAGAACAAAGAAGCAGAUGGAGAGUAAUUCUUGAGUGCUGCUGCUAUUAUUAAGGGCUAUUUUGUAAGUCUGUGAAUAAAAAUUCUUAAAAACCACUUGACUUGGAUUAUUUCUCUGACUACAAGAAAGUGACAGAAUAAAAGAAAACCUGAAAGACUUGCUGGGUGAUAUCCUGGUUUCUCAGAUACAACAGCGUGCUUCUACUUUCUGUAAAGGGUGGUGCUGGGUGUUCUUGUUUUGAUGUAUGACUUCAAUGUGAUUAACAGUUCUCAUACAUUAUUUGUUUCCUCCACUGUGGUUUUUAUGAUGCUUUUGACGGUAACUUUUUUCUGCAGUUUUGGUCAUCAAAGAAGUGAAACUAGCAGAAUUCACUCACUAAAACUUAGGUCUUUGUGUAAAGAUUUCUCUCUGCUUGUGUUGGGAGAUUUUGAAAGUGGGACUAACUGUAAGCUUUUGAAUGGCAAUUGCUGUUAUCUGCUUAUGGGUAAAUCACUUGACGCAACUAAAAUUAUUGGUAACUUUUCACCGAAGCUUUUGUCUAGGGACUUCAAAACUUGGUUUAUAUUGUCCAUCUGUUCCACUGUUCACUUGGAACUGUUUAAGUGGGGAGUUUGUGUAAACUGUGAUUCACAGACCCACUCUGUAUGUGUAUUUGACUGUUGUUAGCCAUUUGGUUUUUAAUGAAGGGAUUAUGUGUCUAUUUCAGUCAUUGUUCAUCGGAGUAACAGCGAUGAUUAACUGAUAAGUAAAUCAUGAAACCUGAUGUUACAUGUCUUACAGUAAAGAUCAUGAUCUUCAUCACUGCGUUAACACACGCAGGUAGCUUCACUAAGUUAAUUUUGAUCAUAGCAUCAAAUGUUUAAAGGAGUCUUUGAGUGUUCAUCCUGAAAACCUUGUACGUUCAGAGGUGGCAAAUGACCUGCAUUAAUGUAAGAGCAGAAACAUUCUGUUACAUUAGGUGGGUUCUGACAAUUAAACGCACGCUUCUUGGUGUUUUCCUUAAUGCCAUGGAACUCUAAUGUGGUGUGCAGUUAUUUUCUGUCUCCGCCUCGAUUAUGCUACAUCAAUUUCUUUUACAGGAAGAAGUACUCGAGUAAGCCUAGCUCGUAAAAACUAGAGCGACUGGGCUGAACAGACCUUUGAUUUGACUUCCUGCUGUGUUUCUUGGCUUUAAGCCAGUCAGUGCCUUGGCUUCUGUUCCUCAGCAGGCUCUCUGGCUCCAGUCCUUGUGUUCUUCAUCAGCGUUCCUCUUUGUGUGGCAGCCCUCAGCAGGGAUGAUGCCAGUACCAUCUAAAUGCUUUAGGUAUGCCAGGCACGCUGACUCGAUGUAUCCGCAGCCCAAAACCUGCAAAAUGAAGAGCAAAAGGGAGGAAAUCGAACUAAGUGCAAACCUCAUUUUACAGCAAGAGUCCUGAGAAUGGUAUUGUGCGGUCAAUUAGAUGAUCAGAGCUAUCUGUCUGCCUUUGAAGCCUACAAAUUGAUUUGUGGUGUAAGAAUGUGGACAAAGUGUUUGGGAAGUGCCCCUGUAAUGAUUUUGAUCCUUGCCCAGCUGCUCCAUCUCCUCACAGAUCAGGUGCUGUGCUUCAACCUGGCAGGCAUCUCAGCGCCGUGCAGCUGUUGGCUCACCUCCUGCCUCCUGUGGGACCGGUUGGGGAAUGGAGAAGAAAAAUGCAAGAACUCAUGGGCUGAGAAAAGGGCCCUUCAAUAACUUAUUUCUCUUCUGCCUUCAGAACUGGGACCUCACUGCUAUGCUGAGGAAUCUGUCUGGCUUUAUGUGAUAUGUAAAGCAUGGGAAGAAACUGAGGACCUUCUGAUUCCCAUCUAGUGAGAAGUAAGGCAGUAGAUCUGAGCAUAAUGGCAAGCUGCUGCCAGCGGUGCCAGAAACGACACAUUUAUAUUUCGAACCUUUCCAUCAGCUUUUUUUUAAUGUGAAAUUAACGUCACUUCGUGCCAUAGGAGAAGGAAUAUUUUAAACACUGGUUUCUAUUCCCUAAAUAUACUAAAAUUUUGUGCUGAUACAAUUUCCUGGCCCUCUUGCAAUUGGCUUACUUUCGCUGUGUGUGGGCUUGGCUGUAAAACAGAUCCAGGUCCCUGCCUGUUGCAUCAGUGACUUCAGCAGCUGAUUUGUGUCUGCUGGUACCACCGGAAUCCCUGGCCCAUGGGCCAGACCCAUUCAUUCGGUGGAAAAACACUGGCAUGAGCCCCACAGUGCUUGUUUGGCCAGCAGACGUUCAAGGCAAUAGUAGGAUAUAGCCAAAAAAUGUAUGAUUGGGUGAGGAAAACUGUCCACCCCAAGUCCUCUCUGACAGUCGUGUUCCUCAGAAGGACGAUGCUCGGAUGGGAAGCAGCUCCCUGCAGCCAAGCAGAGGCAUAACAUGACCUGCUGCUUGAAAACAAAGCAAAGCAGGGGUUUUAUUUGUCUCGGCUAAGCCUCCUGCUGCAAAUUUAUAGGCUUUUUAACUCGCUGUGCUACUUGUCAGUCUCUGAACAGAUGCACAGCCUUCAGGCUCUCGGAGCUUGCCAGCAACUGGCGUCCUGCUGGGAGCGGUGGGAGGACUUGCAGCGCGAAGCAGGGCAACCUAAUAAUAGCACAGGAAUACACUGAAACCAGUGCUUGCGCAAAGCAGUGGAGAAGUGUAACCUGUAGUUUGGCUUUUUUUUAUCUCCCAGCCAGCUGAAGAAUGCACAGUGAAAACCCGUGGGCCGUUGACUUGAGCACAGCUUGGCAGCAGGAUGCUGAGAGCCUUGGCCAGGAUAACCAGAUGUUUGAAUUUCCCCAGUGCUGAAAGAAGCCAUGGAUAUGUAAAAAUAAACUUGUCUAAGUUGACAUGCAUCUCAGGCUGUUCAAAAUUUGCGGGGUCUCAUUUGCUGUUUGAGUGAAAGCAGGGACUGUAGGUUUUGUAGUUCUUUACCUUACGGGUUCCUAAGGACCCAACCCAGCUGACCUCUCAUAAGCCAUGAGUGAUUUAAAUGAAUGAAUGAGAUGAGGUUGAUGGAUACAUUUCUGUCUGAACUGAGGGAGAAAAUGUCCUGUCUGCUGUGAUGAAGAGGGAAAAAAAAUGGUUAUUGAAAAAAAAAAAGGUUUGGGAAGAAUCACACUGAGAUGAUGUCCAAAAAUUCCUCCUGUACUUACUGGUUUUCCAAGAGAGCCAACUCUGUAUGGAGAUAUCCAGAAAAGAGUGCUCGAAGUUAAUUUCAGACCUUUUGGGAGCUAUGAACUGAUUAAAAUUGAUAGGGAAAAUGGUCUUUUUAGGCCAGUGAAAAAGUACAUGGUGACCCCGAUGUUACUCGUGUACGUGCACAUCUCCUCUUUGGGGGUGAGGUCUUCUGAGGGUCUCCACCAGCACCCAGGUGCUGCUUUCACAAAGAAAUCUGGUACUUAAAAUGCUGCUAACAACAUUAUUGCAGCGUUCUCUCGGUGCAGAGAAUAUGGUUUGAUUAAAAAUAUCAAUACGCUUGCGAGGGGAAUAAAACAAUACUCACUUUGGUGUUUUCAAGGCCAAUUAAUUUUUUAAUUAACAGAAGUAUGCUUGAAAACGUAAAACACUCAUUUCUGGAAAUUGGGCCGUUUCCAGUUGUUGCUGGAUUUUUCUGGUAAGCUGUAUUUUUUCAAGUAGAAAAUGAAAUUUUCCUGCAGGAAGAUAAAUCGCUUAACUUCCAUGUAAGUCUUUAAACUAAUUCUUUUGUCUUCGGGUUUUGUUGUAUUUUAUUGUGUUUAUGUGGGCGCGAGACCUACUGUUAUGAUUAAAAGAGUAUAAUAAA